rnacentral:rRNA from 1 species
GACAGAGGGUGCAAACGUUGUUCGGAUUUAUUGGGCGUAAAGAGCUCGUAGGCGGUUUGUCGCGUCUGCCGUGAAAGUCCGGGGCUCAACUCCGGAUCUGCGGUGGGUACGGGCAGACUAGAGUGAUGUAGGGGAGACUGGAAUUCCUGGUGUAGCGGUGAAAUGCGUAGAUAUCGAGAGGAACACCAGUGGCGAAGGCGAGUCCCUGGACAACACCUGACACUGAGGCACGAAAGCUAGGGGAGCAAACAGG